GAACGCUGGCGGCGUGCUUAACACAUGCAAGUCGAACGGAGCGAAUGAAAGCUUGCUUUUAUGAGCUUAGUGGCAAACGGGUGAGUAACACGUAGACAACCUGCCGAUCAGAUGGGGACAACAUUCCGAAAGGAAUGCUAAUACCGAAUGGCGUGGAGGGAAGGCAUCUUCCUUUCAUGAAAGAUGGCCUCUAUUUAUAAGCUAUCACUGAUCGAUGGGUCUGCGUCUGAUUAGCUAGUAGGUAAGGUAACGGCUUACCUAGGCGACGAUCAGUAGCCGGUCUGAGAGGAUGAACGGCCACAUUGGGACUGAGACACGGCCCAGACUCCUACGGGAGGCAGCAGUGGGGAAUCUUCCGCAAUGGGCGCAAGCCUGACGGAGCAACGCCGCGUGAGUGAAGAAGGUCUUCGGAUCGUAAAGCUCUGUUGAAGGGGACGAACGAUCGAGGGGCGAACAGGCUCUCGGUAUGACGGUACCUUUUGAGGAAGCCACGGCUAACUACGUGCCAGCAGCCGCGGUAAUACGUAGGUGGCGAGCGUUGUCCGGAAUCAUUGGGCGUAAAGGGAGCGCAGGCGGCCAUGUAAGUCUUGCUUAAAAGUUCGGGGCUCAACCCCGUGAUGGGCAAGAAACUAUAUGGCUUGAGUGCAGGAGAGGAAAGCGGAAUUCCCAGUGUAGCGGUGAAAUGCGUAGAUAUUGGGAGGAACACCAGUGGCGAAGGCGGCUUUCU
rnacentral:rRNA from 1 species